GGGGGACCUUCGGGCCUCUUGCCAUCGGAUGUGCCCAGAUGGGAUUAGCUAGUAGGUGGGGUAACGGCUCACCUAGGCGACGAUCCCUAGCUGGUCUGAGAGGAUGACCAGCCACACUGGAACUGAGACACGGUCCAGACUCCUACGGGAGGCAGCAGUGGGGAAUAUUGCACAAUGGGCGCAAGCCUGAUGCAGCCAUGCCGCGUGUAUGAAGAAGGCCUUCGGGUUGUAAAGUACUUUCAGCGGGGAGGAAGGGAGUAAAGUUAAUACCUUUGCUCAUUGACGUUACCCGCAGAAGAAGCACCGGCUAACUCCGUGCCAGCAGCCGCGGUAAUCCGGAGGGAGCAAGCGUUAAUCGGAAUUACUGGGCGUAAAGCGCACGCAGCCGGUU
rnacentral:rRNA from 1 species